rnacentral:tRNA from 2 species
AAUGAUUUGCCUGAUAAAUGCAAUUAACUUGAUAGGGUAAAUCAUGUAAUAAUAUUAUAUUCAUUA